GAUGAACGCUGGCGGCGUGCUUAAUACAUGCAAGUCGAACGAAAAGACGCGGAGCUUGCUCCUCUCUCGUGUGGCGCGGGCGGGUGUGUAACACGUGUAUCCCCUCCCUAUCAGACUGGUAUCACUUCGGGACAGCGGCUCUAAUCCCGUAUAAUCUCUUGCACCGCAUGGUUCGAUGGUGAGAGUCGGUUUUGGUGUCUCUAAUCGCUGGAUCCGGGCCGCAUUAGCUAGUUGUUACGGUAACGGCUUACCAAGGCAACGAUGCGUAGCCGAGCUGAGAGGGGGAUCGGCCACACUGGAACUGAGACACGGUCCAGACUCCUACGGGAGGCAGCAGUAGGGAAUCUGCCGCAAUGGGCGAAAACCUUACGGAGCAACGCGGCGUGAGUGAUGAAGAUCUUCCGAUCGGAAAACUCUGUUAUUGGUGAAGAACAAAUGUGUAAGUAACUAUGCACGGCUUGACGGUAACUAAUAAGAAAGCCACGGCUAACUACGUG
rnacentral:rRNA from 1 species